CCCAAAAUCUAGCCCCCUCUCCCUCCCCCUUUUUAACCAUCAAAACAAAAUAUUUUAACAACCUAGUAAAGAAGAUUAAAAAAUUUCUAAGAGCAAUAACCAUGUACCGCAAGGGAAAAAUGAAAUAGUAGUGAAAUAAAUAUUAAGCAACAAAAAGUAGAGACAUUUACUCGUACCUUUUGCAUCAUGGUUUAGCUAGUUUAAUUAGGCAAAAAGACCUUAAGUCUAACUUCCCGAAACUUAGUGAGCUAUCCCAGGGCCGCUUAACGAGCCCACCCGUCUAUGUGUCAAAAUAGUGGGGAGACCCUAGGAUAGAGGUGAUAAACCUAACGAACUUAGUGAUAGCUGGUUUCUCAAUAAAAGAAUUUUAGUCCAACCCAAAGUAAUAAAAAUAAUCUAAAUAUAUCUUUCACUUUGGAGCAAUUCAAAUAAGGUACAGCCUAUUUGAUACAGGAUUCAACCUUAACCAAAGGGUAACAUAAACACCUCUUUCACAAGUAGGCCUAACAGCAGCCACCUUUCAAAAAGCGUCAAAGCUUAACUGAACUUAUUAAUCCCUCAACUCUCAUGUAUCCCUUCAUCUCUACUGAGAAAUUCUAUACAACUAUAGAACCUUUUAUGCUAAAACUAGUAACAAGAGACCAACCUCUCUAAAAUGUAAAUAUAAGCCAGCAAGAAUACCUCACUGGCAAUUAACAAGCCCAAAUAGUAACUUUACAAGAAAACUCUAUUUUUUAAACUGUUGACCUAACACCAGAACAUUUCUAGAAAGAUUAAAAGAAAAAGAAGGAACUCGGCAAAUACUAGACCCGCCUGUUUACCAAAAACAUCGCCUCUUGCCCAUCAUAAGAGGUCCAGCCUGCCCAGUGACUCUUGUUUAACGGCCGCGGUAUCCUAACCGUGCAAAGGUAGCGUAAUCACUUGUCUUCUAAAUAAAGACUAGUAUGAAAGGCAUCACGAGGACUAACCUGUCUCCUCUUUCUAAUCAGUGAACCUAAUCUUCCUGUGAAAAAGCAGGAAUUUUUUUAUAAGACGAGAAGACCCCAUGGAGCUUAAAACAUCAUAACAUCUGCUUUUCUCCUAAACUACUCUGGUACCUAAAUUCUACAGCAUUCUGAUUAUAUGUUUUUGGUUGGGGUGACCACGGAGAAAAAAAAAUCCUCCAUAAUGAAAGAGCCCUCCCCUCUAAACAAUAAGCCACAACUUUAUGAAUCAACAAAUUGACAACCACGACCCAAUAUUUUGAUUAAUGAACCAAGUUACCCUAGGGAUAACAGCGCAAUCCACUUUGAGAGCCCCUAUCGACAAGUGGGCUUACGACCUCGAUGUUGGAUCAGGGUUUCCCAGAGGUGUAGUCGCUUCUUAAGGUUCGUUUGUUCAA
rnacentral:rRNA from 1 species